CAGCAGCCGCGGUAAUACGAAGGGUGCAAGCGUUACUCGGAAUUACUGGGCGUAAAGCGUGCGUAGGUGGUGGUUUAAGUCCGUUGUGAAAGCCCUGGGCUCAACCUGGGAAUUGCAGUGGAUACUGGGUCACUAGAGUGUGGUAGAGGAUAGUGGAAUUUCCGGUGUAGCAGUGAAAUGCGUAGAGAUCGGAAGGAACAUCUGUGGCGAAGGCGACUAUCUGGGCCAACACUGACACUGAGGCACGAAAGCGUGGGGAGCAAACAGGAUUAGAUACCCGCGUAGUCCCUGUCUCUUAUAU
rnacentral:rRNA from 1 species